CACCACCGCGCGAACCGAACGAGCGCCGCCUCAGGCAGGGCUAGGCCUAGCCGUCGAAGGCGCCACGGCUAGCUAGGCCGCGGGCGACCUCCGCUGGCCGCCUCGGACAAGCGCACGGCGCCGCGAUAGCGUUCGCUCGGGCCAUACUUCCCUUCUGAAGAAAGCGCUUAGCAUUGGACAGGAAAUCUGUGAUCUUCCAGGUGUGUUGAUUCCAGUUCCCAUCAGCCAACAUAAGUGACGAGUCGUAAAACAAGUUCCGUAUGAAGGUUCCCCAUUCCUGGUUUUCAUAGUAAGGCUGAAAUCAAUGCUAUUUUGUGUGGUAAUGAAUCCUUAUCUAUAAAACGUAGUCAGGAAUUGAGGCUUCCCCCAGACUUUUCACACUUUGUGACAAGGUACAUGAUGGAAACAAAUAUGGAAAUACUUGAGGAAAUGUUUUAAUACAAAUAACCAAGUUUUGCAACUUAUGUCACCUUAAUUGUAUAAUAAGUUUUAUACAUUAUUUGUUCAGGUAUGUGUAUUUCUUAUAGCAAAUCAAUAAAACUGGCAAACUGAUCCCCUUCUGCAUGUGAAGACUGGAAAAACCGAUAUAUGCUGUUUUAUACAAUGCACAAAAUAAACAGGGGGUUUAUCGCUGCUGUGCCAGUACAUUCACAAACCUUUCAAUGGAGGUUCCACAAAGAAUGUUGUCAAAUAAUGGAGUUUGCUUUUCCAUAAAUCAUCCGGCAACGACUAGCAAAAGUGUAAAUCUGACAAGCAUCUCAUGUAGUUGUGGGGAAUAUUGACUUAGGCUGUCAUAGGAUGUAGGUCUGUGGUCCCCCCCCCAACUUCCCAUAAUUUUACAAGCGCCACAAUUCAAAGCAGGGAAGAGUGAUGUGACUCAACUCCUCUUACAAUCUUUGUGCGGAAAGUCAUGCCAUCACCAAGUUGUUUUUGCCCCUCCCGGGGAAGAC